rnacentral:rRNA from 1 species
UGGAAUAAGGGCUGGGAAAGACCGGUGCCAGCCGCCGCGGUAAUACCGGCAGCUCAAGUGGUCGUCGCUUUUAUUGGGCCUAAAACGUCCGUAGCCUGUUUGGUAAAUCUGUGGGUAAAUCAACCAGCUUAACUGGUUGAAUUCUGCAGAGACUGCCAGACUAGGGACCGGGAGAGGUGUGGGGUACUCUAGGGGUAGGGGUAAAAUCCUGUCAUCCUUAGAGGACCACCAGUUGCGAAGGCGCCACACUGGAACGGAUCCGACGGUCAGGGACGAAGCCUAGGGGCACGAACCGGAUUAGAUACCCGGGUAGUCCUAGGUGUAAACGCUGUGAACUUGGUGUCGGGAGUCCGCAAUGGGCCCCCGGUGCCGGAGUGAAGAUGUUAAGUUCACUGCCUGGGGAGUACGGUCGCAAGGCUGAAACUUAAAGGAAUUGGCGGGGGAGCACUGCAACGGGAGGAGCGUGCGGUUUAAUUGGAUUCAACGCCGGAAAACUCACCAGGGCCGACUGUUAGAUGAAGACCAGCGUAAUGAGCUUGUCGGAUUUUCAGAGAGGUGGUGCAUGGCCGUCGUCAGUUCGUACUGUAAAGCGUUCUGUUAAGUCAGAUAACGAACGAGACCCUCAUCUCUAUUUGCUACC